AUUGAACGCUGGCGGCAUGCCUAACACAUGCAAGUCGAACGAGAGGCGGACGGGUGAGUUAUGUAUGGGCAACUGCCUGAUGGAGAGCGACACCUACUCGUAACGGUUGCUGCAUCCGCAUACCAUCGCCUGUGCCCAGAUGGGAUUAGCUAGUGGGUGGGGUAAAGGCUCACAUAGGCGACGAUCCCUAGCUGGUCUGAGAGGAGGACCAGCCACACUGGGACUGAGACACGGUCCAGACUCCUACGGGAGGCAGCAGUGGGGAAUAUUGCACAAUGGGCGCAAGCCUGAUGCAGCCAUGCCGCGUGUAUGAAGAAGGCCUUAGGGUUGUAAAGUACUUUCGGCGGGGAGGCGGUACCCGCAGAAGAAGCACCGGCUAACUACGUGCCAGCAGCCGCGGUAAUAC
rnacentral:rRNA from 1 species